rnacentral:rRNA from 1 species
GACCGAACCGACUAAUGUUGAAAAAUUAGCGGAUGACUUGUGGCUGGGGGUGAAAGGCCAAUCAAACCGGGAGAUAGCUGGUUCUCCCCGAAAGCUAUUUAGGUAGCGCCUCGUGAAUUCAUCUCCGGGGGUAGAGCACUGUUUCGGCAAGGGGGUCAUCCCGACUUACCAACCCGAUGCAAACUGCGAAUACCGGAGAAUGUUAUCACGGGAGACACACGGCGGGUGCUAACGUCCGUCGUGAAGAGGGAAACAACCCAGACCGCCAGCUAAGGUCCCAAAGUCAUGGUUAAGUGGGAAACGAUGUGGGAAGGCCCAGACAGCCAGGAUGUUGGCUUAGAAGCAGCCAUCAUUUAAAGAAAGCGUAAUAGCUCACUGGUCGAGUCGGCCUGCGCGGAAGAUGUAACGGGGCUAAACCAUG